rnacentral:rRNA from 1 species
CUUUGGGAUAAGCCUGGGAACUGGGGUCUAAUACCGAAUAUGACCACGCGCUUCAUGGUGUGUGGUGGAAAGCUUUUGCGGUGUGGGAUGGGCCCGCGGCCUAUCAGCUUGUUGGUGGGGUAAUGGCCUACCAAGGCGACGACGGGUAGCCGGCCUGAGAGGGUGACCGGCCACACUGGGACUGAGAUACGGCCCAGACUCCUACGGGAGGCAGCAGUGGGGAAUAUUGCACAAUGGGCGCAAGCCUGAUGCAGCGACGCCGCGUGAGGGAUGACGGCCUUCGGGUUGUAAACCUCUUUCAAUAGGGACGAAGCGCAAGUGACGGUACCUAUAGAAGAAGGACCGGCCAACUACGUGCCAGCAGCCGCGGUAAUACGUAGGGUCCGAGCGUUGUCCGGAAUUACUGGGCGUAAAGAGCUCGUAGGUGGUUUGUCGCGUUGUUCGUGAAAACUCACAGCUUAACUGUGGGCGUGCGGGCGAUACGGGCAGACUAGAGUACUGCAGGGGAGACUGGAAUUCCUGGUGUAGCGGUGGAAUGCGCAGAUAUCAGGAGGAACACCGGUGGCGAAGGCGGGUCUCUGGGCAGUAACUGACGCUGAGGAGCGAAAGCGUGGGGAGCGAACAGGAUUAGAUACCCUGGUAGUCCACGCCGUAAACGGUGGGUACUAGGUGUGGGUUUCCUUCCUUGGGAUCCGUGCCGUAGCUAACGCAUUAAGUACCCCGCCUGGGGAGUACGGCCGCAAGGCUAAAACUCAAAGGAAUUGACGGGGGCCCGCACAAGCGGCGGAGCAUGUGGAUUAAUUCGAUGCAACGCGAAGAACCUUACCUGGGUUUGACAUGCACAGGACGACUGCAGAGAUGUGGUUUCCCUUGUGCCCUGUGUGCA